rnacentral:rRNA from 1 species
ACGCUCGACACCUACGGGGGGCAGCAGUGGGGAAUAUUGCACAAUGGGGGAAACCCUGAUGCAGCGACGCCGCGUGAGCGAAGAAGUAUUUCGGUAUGUAAAGCUCUAUCAGCAGGGAAGAAGAAAGACGGUACCUGACUAAGAAGCCCCGGCUAACUACGUGCCAGCAGCCGGCGGUAAUCUGAGCGGGCUGGCAAGGC